UGCAGUCGAACGGUGAAGCCCUUCGGGGUGGAUCAGUGGCGAACGGGUGAGUAACACGUGGGCAAUCUGCCCUGCACUCUGGGACAAGCCCUGGAAACGGGGUCUAAUACCGGAUACGACCUUCCUCUGCAUGGGGGUUGGUGGAAAGCUCCGGCGGUGCAGGAUGAGCCCGCGGCCUAUCAGCUUGUUGGUGGGGUAAUGGCCUACCAAGGCGACGACGGGUAGCCGGCCUGAGAGGGCGACCGGCCACACUGGGACUGAGACACGGCCCAGACUCCUACGGGAGGCAGCAGUGGGGAAUAUUGCACAAUGGGCGAAAGCCUGAUGCAGCGACGCCGCGUGAGGGAUGACGGCCUUCGGGUUGUAAACCUCUUUCAGCAGGGAAGAAGCGCAAGUGACGGUACCUGCAGAAGAAGCACCGGCUAACUACGUGCCAGCAGCCGCGGUAAUACGUAGGGUGCGAGCGUUGUCCGGAAUUAUUGGGCGUAAAGAGCUCGUAGGCGGCCUGUCGCGUCGGAUGUGAAAGCCCGGGGCUUAACCCCGGGUCUGCAUUCGAUACGGGCAGGCUAGAGUGUGGUAGGGGAGAUCGGAAUUCCUGGUGUAGCGGUGAAAUGCGCAGAUAUCAGGAGGAACACCGGUGGCGAAGGCGGAUCUCUGGGCCAUUACUGACGCUGAGGAGCGAAAGCGUGGGGAGCGAACAGGAUUAGAUACCCUGGUAGUCCACGCCGUAAACGUUGGGAACUAGGUGUUGGCGACAUUCCACGUCGUCGGUGCCGCAGCUAACGCAUUAAGUUCCCCGCCUGGGGAGUACGGCCGCAAGGCUAAAACUCAAAGGAAUUGACGGGGGGCCCGCACAAGCAGCGGGAGCAUGUGGCUUAAAUUCGACGCAACGCCAAAGAACCUUACCAAGGCUUGACAUAUUGCCGGAAACAUCCAGAAGAUGGGUGCCCCCCUUGUGGUCGGG
rnacentral:rRNA from 1 species